rnacentral:rRNA from 1 species
GACGGAAGGUGCAAGCGUUGCUCGGAAUCACUGGGCGUAAAGGGUGCGUAGGCGGGUCUUUAAGUCAGGGGUGAAAUCCUGGAGCUCAACUCCAGAACUGCCUUUGAUACUGAAGAUCUUGAGUUCGGGAGAGGUGAGUGGAACUGCGAGUGUAGAGGUGAAAUUCGUAGAUAUUCGCAAGAACACCAGUGGCGAAGGCGGCUCACUGGCCCGAAACUGACGCUGAGGCACGAAAGCGUGGGGAGCAAACAGGG